GUAGGGAGAGUUUCUUCAACACAGUGCAGGUGACCCUGAUGUCAAGCAUUAACUACACCUGUGGAGACCUACGUAGCAGCGGCAUCUCACUCGGUUCUCCUUUUACAGAUGAUGAGACUGAGGCUCAGAGAGGCCCCUUGUCCUGUGUGGAAAGCCAGUGAGGACAGACCCGUGUCUUCUCCACUAUGCGACCCUGUCACAUUGGGGGUUUCCUGACCACACAGAGGCCUUUGCCCUCACAUGUUAACCACAGCAGCUUUAAUAUAUACAUACCAGAAUAGCAUUCCACGAGGACAUCUGUACAGAACGAUCAGAACCAUCCCUGGCUGUACAACACUCUAAGGCCGUACUGCAUGUCCCAGUGGAAGGUUUCUCUUGCCUGACUCCCUCUCACCUCCCCAGAAGAAAGGAUAUGAUGGAAUAGUGCCUGUCUUGUCUCCUGCACUCAUCACCUCUUAUUCUAAUUAUCCGCUGCUGCCUAACAAACUACCCCAAACCUAGUGGCUACAAGAAGAAAAAAAAAUAUUAUGGCGACCAAUCUGAUUUGAGCAGGGGUUGGCAGGCCGCUCAUCUCUGCUCUAUGUGGAUUCAGCUGGGGCAGCUCAAAGCCUGAGGGUGACUCGUGCUGUGAGCCGGGCUCAGCUGAAGUUUUUCUCACUCUCAGGUCUGGCGGACCUCAGUUCAGACACCCACAUGUGACUUCUCCAUGGUGGCUGGCUGCCAGGAGUGAACAUCCUAACAGAACCAGAUGGAAGAUACAUCACCUUUUAUGAUCUGUCCUCGGUUGUCACAUAGAGUCACUUUGACCAUUGUCACAAGCCCACUCCCACUCAAGGGAAGGAAAUCUAGAUCUCACUUCUUUUGGGAGCAGUGGUAAAGUCCCUCUGUAAGAGGAGCAUGUGGGGUGGGAGAUAUUGUUGCAGCCACUUUGGGUAAUCUGGUCCACUCUUUCUAUCCCCGCUCCUAACCUCCCCAUUUGCUUGAUAGCAAACCAAUCCCCUUCCCAUAGGGGAAGCCCAUGACCUGGGUUGGCCAACUGUAACCAUCAUCUGUCUAGCCACAGGGCUUGGGCCAGGGGUGAGCAUUGGAUCCAAACCAGCUCAACUGCAGCCAAGCCCUUCUCACCCUGUGGUCAGAAACCCCACAGCAGGGGGAAGCCGCACACGAAAGACACACAGCAGAGCUGCACAGACAACGCCAUGCAGUUGCUGAACAACCCUGGACUCUUCAGACUUCUUAUGUGAAAUGAAACCCUUAGCUGGUAAGCCAUGGGGGUAGGUUUUCUGUUACAGCUGAACACAAUCCUAAUUUAUACUUGGAACAAAUGGCCACUCUCACAUUCACCCCAAAUUCAUCACUGACACAAUCAUAAAG